GAUUCCGUGGCCGCUGGAAUGGCAUAGGAUUGCAACUCCGAAGUUGUUGGUUCGAGUCCAACCGGGAUCG
rnacentral:tRNA from 1 species